GUGGCCCGUCCCCCACGCCCCUGCACCCCAAGCGCAGCCCGACGAGCACAGGAGAGGCAGAGCUGAAGGAGGAGCGGCUGCCCGGCCGGAAGGCGAGCUGCAGCGCCGCGGGGAGUGGGAGCCGAGGGCUGCCCCCCUCCAGCCCCAUGGUCAGCAGCGCCCACAACCCCAACAAGGCAGAGAUCCCCGAGCGACGGAAGGACAGCACGAGCACCCCUAACAACCUUCCUCCCAGCAUGAUGACCCGCAGAAACACCUACGUUUGCACAGAACGCCCUGGGGCUGAGCGCCCGUCGCUGUUGGCCAAUGG